GGAGGAGUCGGAUAGUGGUUUAUUCCAGCGGUUUCGAAAACCGCCAUGCCGAAAGGCAUCGUGAGUUCGAAUCUCACCUCCUCCG
rnacentral:tRNA from 3 species